GAACGAGGUGCCUUCGGGUGCCUAGUGGCGAACGGGUGAGUAACACGUGAGCAACCUGCCCCUGGCUCUGGGAUAGCCUCCGGAAACGGGGAUUAAUACCGGACAGGACCCCGGGUCGCAUGAUCCGGGGUGGAAAGUUUUUCGGCCAGGGAGGGGCUCGCGGCCUAUCAGCUUGUUGGGGGGGUGACGGCCCACCAAGGCGACGACGGGUAGCCGGCCUGAGAGGGCGACCGGCCACACUGGGACUGAGACACGGCCCAGACUCCUACGGGAGGCAGCAGUGGGGAAUAUUGCACAAUGGGCGCAAGCCUGAUGCAGCGACGCCGCGUGCGGGAUGAAGGCCUUACGGGUUGUAAACCGCUUUCAGCAGGGGCGAAUUUUGACGGUACCUGCAGAAGAAGCGCCGGCUAACUACGUGCCAGCAGCCGCGGUAAU
rnacentral:rRNA from 1 species